rnacentral:ncRNA from 1 species
CCUAGAGGACGACCUCUAGGACGACCUCAUGAAUGACCUUGAGGACGACCUCG